rnacentral:rRNA from 1 species
CCUACGGGUGGCAGCAGUGGGGAAUAUUGGACAAUGGGGGGAACCCUGAUCCAGCGACGCCGCGUGAGUGAAGAAGGAUUUCGGUAUGUAAAGCUCUAUCAGCAGGGAAGAAAAUGACGGUACCUGACUAAGAAGCCCCGGCUAAAUACGUGCCAGCAGCCGCGGUAAUACGUCGGGGGCAAGAGUUAUCCGGAUUUACUGGGGGGAAAGGUAGCGUAGACGGUGCAGCAAGGCUGAUGUGAAAGCUAGGGGCCCAACCCCGGGACUGCAUUGGAAACUGGUGAACUGGAGUACAGGAGAGGUAAGCGGAAUUCCUAGUGUAGCGGUGAAAUGCGUAGAUAUUAGGAGGAACACCAGUGGCGAAGGCGGCUUACUGGACUGAAACUGACGUUGAGGCUCGAAAGCGUGGGGAGCAAACAGGAUUAGAUACCCCUGUAGUC